rnacentral:rRNA from 1 species
AUUGAACGCUGGCGGCAGGCUUAACACAUGCAAGUCGAACGAGAGGCGGACGGGUGAGUAAUGUCUGGGAAACUGCCCGAUGGAGGGGGAUAACUACUGGAAACGGUAGCUAAUACCGCAUACCAUCGGAUGGGCCGAGAUGGGAUUAGCUAGUAGGUGGGGGAAGGGCCCACCUAGGCGACGAUCCCUAGCUGGGCGGAGAGGAGGAAAAGGCCCACUAGAACUGAGACACGGUCCAGUCUCAAACGGGACGAAGCAGAGGGGAAUAUUGCACAAGGGGCGCAAGCCUGAUGCAGACAUGCCGCGUGUAUGAAGAAAGCAAUCGGGUUGUAAAGUACUUCCAGCGAGGAGGCGUUACUCGCAGAAGAAGCACCGGCUAACUCCGUGCCAGCAGCCGCGGUAAUAC